UGGGGGUGGAACUCAUGAUGGAAUUGGAGCCUUUACAAGGGAAUGAAGAGACAAGAGCUCUCUUUAUGCCACGUGAGGAUACAGCAAGGCCCCAAUCUGCAAGCCAGGAAGAGUCGUCACGAGAACCAGACCAUGCAGGAACUCUGAUCGUGGACAUUUCAACCUCCAGAACUGUGAUCCAAAAUGCAUAUGUAUCUUUGGAAGAAACUCUGAAGUAAAGGCCGGAAUAUUCUUUGUUUAAAACAUUAAAAACAAAACAGACCAAAGCAUCAAGCAAGAAGUUUCCUGGCAAUAAACUAAGCACAGCAUUAUUUUUUAAGGAACACAAAUUAAGUGUUCAACCUGUGGCAAAUUUGUACUUUCUCCCUGAAUUAUGUUGUUAUCAAAGAAAAAAAUUGGGAAGCAUGGCAAAAUAUCAUCAAAACUGAAACUAGAAUUAAACAAAACUAAAUUAAAAUGAAAUAAAAUGAUGUCCAUUCUUAAUUCAUCCUCACAACUGGGCCACUAGUUUUAUGCAUCUUGGCAGCCAAUAUUUUUGUCUCUAGGGCAUAAAUUAUGCAUCAGGUACCUCUGAAACUCAGAGACCAAGGAAAAAGGAGGUAAUUUGGAAGGUGAAAUAAAUGUAAACAUUCUGAAGAAAGAAUCAAAUCUGUACUUCAGGGUCAAAGAUGAAAUUCAAAAGGGGUUGACAAUGCAUAGAAAAAAGUGCUGAAUUUAAAGUUGGUUUUAUUAUUAUCAUUGUUAUUUGAACCAAUAAUUAAAUCCAGUAAGUCUAGAGCAAUGAUCAUAAUUCUGUACUGUUGUUUUUCUAUUUUAGAAUCCAGUGUACUGUUUCCAAGAGCUUGGCAAAAAAAAAAAAAAAAAAAAAAAAAAAGAAAAAGGAGCUUGACUCUAAAUCUCUAAAUCUUGGAGUCUGGAUGCACUAUUCAUGUGAUAGGCUAAAAUAACUACUAAUACCUUAUGUUCAAACAGCACUUUAUGAAGUGAUUACACAUAAAAGAUCUUUUUUGAUAUAACUGUUAUACGGCAUAUCUUCCAUUUUAUAGACAGGGUGAGUUGUUUGAUGCGUAAGAUGAGCUGAAAUAGGAAAAGUGACAGAAAAUUUACAGACCUAUGGAAUAAUAUUCCACAAUGGGGUAUUCUUUAUAAUUAUCUGGGCUGAAUAGCACCAUCCAAAGUUCUUAAAUCAUCAACAAUGCCAUUUUUACUGUAGAGGAGAAGAGUUAUGAUCCUUUGACUCUUUAAAUUUUCUUCCUUGACAAAAGUGAUCUACCUUUCUAGCCAACCUGUCUCAAUGAUCCAUAAUGUUGCUACCCUGGUGCCAGAUGGAUAUGAUAGAAGGCUCCUAAAAGGCUCUUGGUUUGAGGAAAGUGUUGCUUACAUACAACAGGAAUCUUGUGGGAUUUAAGAAGUGGGGAGAUGUGGAAGUGUAGCCACUCUCUUUUUCAUUCUACCAGUUGCUAUUUCAAUCUUUUUCAAGAGAAGGCUAAAAUUUUAAGAGAAGGCUAAAAUUUUAUGUAACUAUCAAGGAGAGGAACAAAAUUAUGGCUUUUAAUGCUCCCUUUGGGAAGGUCAAGAAUUUGGAGCUUUUAUAUUUCUCUUUCUUCUUAAUUUAGGUCUUGAUCAAUAUAACUGGAGCCUGUGGGGUAUGUGUGUAUAAAAUAAAG
rnacentral:lncRNA from 1 species